CUCCUCCUGCUGCCUGAGACUCCGAGAGCCGCUCUCCCAGGCUCCCCGCUGCAGCGGCGGGGCUGCCAGGGGCGGCACACUCCAGCGCCAGCCAGAGAGCUAGCGCCGCUUGAGGCCGGCCGGGGACGAGGCGCUUUACACUGCCUGAUGGGUACUAGCAGCCCACCCCAGCCAGAUGGAGGACAAGGCCUCUCCAAGUCUCAAGGAAAUGCACAAUCCUUCCUUACCUCUGGCCUCAGAACUCUCAGCAUCUCAUUGAUUAGCAACCUCAUCUGUGGCAAAUCUAAGGAACACCUUCUACUUAAAAUUGAAGUCUUCUGGGCUGGGUGUGGUGGCUCAUUCCUGUAAUCCCAGCACUUUGGGAGGCCAAGGAGUGCGGAUCACGAAGUCAGGAGUUCGAGACCAGCCUGGCCAACAUAGUGGAACCCUGUCUCUACUAAAAAUACAAAAAUUAGCCGGGUGUGGUGGCACAUGCCUGUAGUCCCAGCUACUCGGGAGGCUGAGGUGGGAGAAUCGCUUGAACCUGGGAGGCGGAGGUUGCAGGGAGCUGAGACCACACCAUUGCACUCCAGCCUGGGUGACAGAGUGAGACUCUGUCUCAAAAAAAAAAAAAAUUGAAGUCUUCUGCGACUUACUUCCACCUUUCACAUUCACACAUAUAUCUCACAUAUAUGUAUAUAUGUAUACACACGUAUAUCUCUAUGAACAAUAUAUUCUUUUGUAUUGUG
rnacentral:lncRNA from 1 species